CUAAAAGACAUAGUCGAGAACGGACUUGAAGUGCUGGUCAAUAAGAAUGUUGUAGCUCUUGUUAAAAUGACAUUUGAAAUAUAUGCAACAUGUGUAAUACCUAUAAGUGGCUUCUUUGCAUCAAGUCUUUGGUUUGGCAACACUGCCUAUUUGCACAUAUCUGUGGCUUUU